GUGCCAGCCGCCGCGGUAAAACGUAGGAGACAAACGUUAUCCGGAGUUACUGGGCGUAAAGGGCGUGCAGGUGGUCUGUUAAGUCUGGCGUGAAAGCUCUCGGCUAAACCGGGAGAGGUCGUUGGAUACUGGCGGACUAGAGGACGGUAGAGGCGAGUGGAAUUCCGGGUGUAGUGGUGAAAUGCGUAGAGAUCCGGAGGAACACCAGUGGCGAAGGCGACUCGCUGGGCCGUACCUGACACUCAAACGCGACAGCAUGGGGAGCGAACGGGAUUAGAUACCCUGGUAGUCC
rnacentral:rRNA from 1 species